GGAAAAGGAAUUUCUAUACCUAGGAACAGAUCCGUUUUGUGUGGAGCGUUCAAAGAGACGGUUGGGAAAUACUUUAUCAACUGUGACAAACAUAGAUUCUCAUUAUGUAUGACUACCGAUUUAAAAGAGUGGAAAGGACCUACCAGUAAGCAGUGUUUUAGUGGUGAGUACAAAUGUGUAUCAAGCCAUAAAAAGUUUGUAAAUAGUCAGUCCUACAUUUAUGAUUUAUAUCUUAUUAAAAAAUCAAAACUUCAGAUAUACUAAUUGUACAGUUAUACUAAAUUUGUUAACCUUCUUUAAACCUGUACAGUUGCAUAAAUCAAAAUAUGCAUUGAACUACCGCUAGAAUAAUGUUUUCAUUAGAGACAUAUCCGUAGAGCAAACUACCCGAACUACAUUUACAGAUGACACCGACUAAUCAUGAAACGUAGCCAUUACUACGAUUUCUGGUACAAUUGCGAGAAUUUAAUUAAGGAGAAGUUUAAGACGUUUAGCUCAACACUCUUUUUCUUCAGCAUUUACCUUAUGAAUUACCACACUGAAAAACGAAAAACAAAUCUUCUGUUUGAAUGUUUGCUAAAUAACUUUAUGUUAACUCAAAUGUUGCUUAAGUGUAUAUAAGUAUAAUUUCAUAGAAAAUUCCAUGUAAUGGAAGAUGCUCUUGACGCUGAUGCAACACAGAGUUCUGCCCGCUGUAAUCGUAAUAAAUUGCGUUUGUAGCUUAUUUAGACAAGAAGGGGAAUCAGGGAGCUUUCUGCAGCCUGUCUGCAUUUAUUAUUUUAUUUGUAAAAGGUGGACAAUCUACCACAACUAAUGCACUGUACAGUGUUGGCAAUAGCACGGUUAAGAUAGUUAGCGUCUCAGAAAGCAUUGAAAGAACAAGAACAUCAAGAAAUCUACCUGUGACAGAGUCAAUCUCCGAUCGAAACGGAACAGAAGUGUAUAUUAAGGACGAAGCAGAACAGCGUACAGAUCACGAACAUGAUUCACAUAUUGGUGUGAAAGUUGGUGUACCAGUCGCAAUUCUUUUGGCGUUGAUAUGUGGAAGUUUAAUUAGCAUUUACUUGUUUAGAAGGAGGAACAACGCCAAGAAAAAGUCUCAUGUAGAACCACCCCAAGGAACAUUAAAGAACGAGGCAAGACACGGAAAGCAAAAUGAUUACGAAUCACUUGACCACAUACAUGAAAAUGAUCACAGUUACCAUACAAUUCGCGAAGUUGUGGAGACAAAAUCAUAAUUACACUACAAUUUGCGACAUUGACAACUAGAGAUCUAAUGUUUAUGUAGAUAUAUAGCUUACAACAUAUAUUUUAUGAGGGAAUUAACGAAGUAAAUGUUUAUUAGUGCAAUAUCAACGGUAUAAAGAAAAAUAUGCUUCAACAAUUUUAAUUAAAACGCAGUUUAAAACAAUGUUUGAUAACUUCAAAGCAUAGUUUUUGUCAAGGGGCCUCCGUGGUCGAGUGGUUAAGGUCGCUGGCUUCAAAUCACUUGCCCAUCAUCCAUGUGAGUUCGAGCCCCACUUGGGGCGUUGAAUUCCUCAUGUGAGGAAGCCAUCCAACUGGCUUACGGAAGGUUGGUGGUUCUACCCAGGUGCCCGCUCGUGAUGCAAUAAAGCACGGAGGGGCACCUGGGGUCUUCCUCCACCAUCAAAGCUGGAAAGUCUCGAUAUGACCUUUAAUUGUGUCGGUGCGACGUUAAACCCAACACAAUAAAUAAACAGUUUCAGUCAAGAAAUCUGAUGCAUACUAACUAACAGGAUCAAAAUAAAAAAAGAAAAACAAACAGCCACACACAAAAGAAUUGCCGCGAAUCAUUACAUAUACAGACUAUAUACUAAGCAGUGUUGUUAUAUUUUCCGGUCCUUUGGGAUCAUGGAGUUCAUUCAAUAUCUAUAUAAUAGAGUUCCGCUUAAGCCGGUGCUAGGGGCGUCAUUUUGCUUGG